rnacentral:tRNA from 1 species
UGAAGCAAUACAUUUUGCAUUUAGUUUCGACCUAAACAUUAGGUAUACCUACCCUCAC